UUCAAGAAGAAGCUUAGGCCUGAUGGUACUAUUGAAAAGUACAAGACUCGGCUCGUGGCUAAGGGUUAUAUCCAAAAGGAAGGUGAAGACUUCUUCGAUACUUACUCACCUGUGGCUCCACUGACCACUAUUCGAGUUCUACUUUCACUAGCUGCCUCACAUGGUCUUCUCGUUCAUCAAAUGGAUGUUAAGACUGCUUUCCUAAAUGGAGAGUUGGACGAGGAAAUUUAUAUGGAACAACCAGAUGGGUUUGUACUAGAUGGUCAGGAAGGAAAAGUGUGCAAGUUGCUGAAGUCUUUGUAUGGACUCAAGCAAGCACCCAAACAGUGGCAUGAGAAGUUUGAAAGAACUUUAACCGCUGCAGGCUUCGUUGUAAACGAAGCUGAUAAAUGUGUGUACUAUCGCCAUGGUGGGGGCGAAGGAGUUAUUCUUUGCUUGUAUGUUGAUGACAUACUAAUUUUUGGAACAAAUCUGAAUGUUAUUAAGGAGGUCAAGGAUUUCCUAUCUCGUUGCUUUGAGAUGAAGGAUUUAGGAGUGGCUGAUGCCAUUCUGAACAUCAAGUUGUUGAGAGACGAUGAUGGUGGGAUUACAUUGCUUCAAUCUCAUUAUGUGGAAAAGAUAAAGACCACGAGCGGUUAUGUAUUCACUCAUGGAGGUGGCGCUGUUUCUUGGAAGUCUUGCAAGCAGACCAUCUUAACAGGGUCAACAAUGGAAGCAGAACUCACAGCACUAGAUACAGCUACGGUCGAAGCAGAUUGGCUUCGCCGGCUCUUGAAUGACUUGCCGGUUGUUGAGAAACCUGUACCGAGUAUCCUUAUGAAUUGCGACAAUCAAACUGUGAUCACGAAAGUGAGCAGCUCAAAGGAUAACAUGAAGUCAUCAAGACACGUUCAGAGAAGGUUAAAGUCUGUCAGGAAAAUGAGAAACUCCGGAGUUAUUGCAUUGGAUUAUAUCCAAACGUCUAAAAAUCUGGCAGAUCCUUUUACUAAGGGUCUAUCACGUAAUGUGAUAGAUAAUGCAUCGAGGGAGAUGGGUAUGAGACCCACA
rnacentral:rRNA from 1 species